GUAGGUGAACCUGCGGAAGGAUCAUUAAAAGGUAUCUACCCUCCCUUGGUUGUAAAAAGCCAGAGAGGUGUAGUCCAGAUCAACCACUGUGCGCACGUAUUGAAGUUUUUUUUGCUUUUGGUAGGCGUCGUUGAACGAUUCUACCAUAAGUGAAGCCCAAAUCAAUAUAAGCCUUUUUUUGUGACUGAAAUUUUUUUUAAAUAAAAAAUACAACUUUCAACAACGGAUCUCUUGGCUCUC
rnacentral:misc_RNA from 1 species